UACGGAGGGAGCUAGCGUUGUUCGGAAUUACUGGGCGUAAAGCGCACGUAGGCGGAUAUUUAAGUCAGGGGUGAAAUCCCAGAGCUCAACUCUGGAACUGCCUUUGAUACUGGGUAUCUUGAGUAUGGAAGAGGUGAGUGGAAUUCCGAGUGUAGAGGUGAAAUUCGUAGAUAUUCGGAGGAACACCAGUGGCGAAGGCGGCUCACUGGUCCAUUACUGACGCUGAGGUGCGAAAGCGUGGGGAGCAAACAGG
rnacentral:rRNA from 1 species